AUAUAAAGCCAUACCAGCCUGAAAGCGCCCAAUCCUGUUUGGUCUCUGAAGUUAGGCAGGGUCUGGCUUCUACAGUACAUACACCACAGGAACUUUGUGAA
rnacentral:rRNA from 1 species